rnacentral:tRNA from 1 species
GCCUGGAUAGCUCAAUUGGUUAGAGUAUGGUGCUGAUCAUUUCAAGGUUGCAAGUUCAAACCCUGUAUGGGACA